AAUAUUCAAUAAAAAUCUUUCGUUUUACUAAAAUGACUAACUAACUAUAAUGACUAAUGAGUAGCUUUUAUUUGUAAAACCGCUGUAAUAAUUUUUACAAGUAGUUUUGUACAGUGCCUGUUUACGUAUUAAUUGACAAAAGUAAAACCAGAUUGGAAGCUAUUAUAGCACAUGCAUGAAAAAGGUACGUGGAUUGAUGCUUGUGACUCAAAAGAUUUAAAAAGAUUGAUGUUUCUAAACGAUCAUUUAUUCCAACUUGUACUGAAAAGAGUUAAUACUUAAAAGUAAAAAAUUGAAUUGAAUUUAGAACCUAACUUUAUUUAUCAAGAAAUA